GGACACUGAUUUAUUUCUGGAUCUUAGAGUUUUACUGAUUGUCUUGCAUGGAUACAUUUGAGCCUGCAUGUUGCGAUCUGUAUCCAAUGAUUGUAACUUCUGUAUUGUAUCCUUCAAUGAGAAAGGACAGCUCUGGUGUGAGGAGUCCCUCUCCCUUCUCCUAAACUCUUCUACAAAACAGGGGUUUCCAACUUCCGGGAUAAGGACCUGUACCAACUCAUGGCCUGUUAGGAAAUGGGCCACACAGCAGAAGCUCUCCAGGAACACAUCUUUGAAGACAAAAUGCCUCCAAGAUCCCCAGUACUGUAGCUCUUCUCCUGAAGCAACUAUUUCCAGCCUUGAAAGUUAUCAGCUCAGGAGAGGAAGCACUGCAAGCAGCUCCUGGGCCCUGGGGUAUGGUUGCAGAUUCAUCACCUAGCUACUUGUUUGUGGUGUUAUCAUCUUUUUUUCCCUGACAUAUUUUGGAACUUGACUACAUCUGAUAUAUUUCUCAACAUUUCUCCAGUACCAUUCACUCCAACUCCAGAGGACACCAUGGAACACCAUUUCCUCGGCUGGAAGUGGGACCAUCUCCGGCGACCUCUGCUUCUCCUCUCCUUUUCUACUUUACAGGAGCACUUACAGAAACACUUGAAAAAGUUCCCCACUCAUAGGAGACCUGUCAGUUAGCAAAUUGUACCCUGAAGUUUUGGUCUAGGAUAUCAAAGCAUAACUUAUUUUGGGGCUGCUUUACCAGAUUGUGACAUAAUAAACUU
rnacentral:lncRNA from 1 species